rnacentral:snRNA from 1 species
CCGAGAAGCUAAACUCGAAAA